AGGCAGUAGGGCCGCGUGCAGAGGGAAACCGAGGCCACGAGUCACUCACCUCCAGAGGUGCAGGCCCAGCGAGGGGCUGCAGGGACUGCAGGGGCUGCUGGGGCUGAGCAGCGCGGGGCUCUGGCUGCUCGGGGACAGACUGCGAAGAGAGAGGCGGCCGUGACCUGGCAACGCCCCGCAGGCGGCCCGAUCCGGAUCCAAGCGAGCACCGGUGCGCCGUGAGGACUCCCCGGAGGCGGCGCCGGGACGCGUGCGGGGCGGUGGCAGUGUCCUCCCGAGUGCCCAUGCCCCGCGGGGCACUCACUCGAGGGUCAGGGCCGGGAUGUGCAGCUUAUCCCUGCGCGACUUCAUGGCGAGUCCACGCUGCGUCUACACCGCCGGCUGCCGACGCCCUGCGGGAGACUUCUGCCCCGGAUCCUGGCGCGAUCCGGGGCGGCGGCGACCGACCGUGCGUGGCCCUGAGCUGGGCGAGGCUGACUCCGCCCCUUGCGGGCGGGGCGAAUAAGACCCCGCCCCGUGAGGGUGGGGAGACUGAGAUCCUGCCCAUGGGUGGGCGUGGCACGGCGCAGUCAGGCCCUGCAGAGGCGGUGGGCGCAGGCUCCCAGGGCGUGGCUCCAGCCUGCACCAGCGCGCAGCCCCGCGCGACGGGCGGGCCACCCUUUCCCGGUGAGACCCUGAGACCGCCGGGGCCGGAUCCACUUGCAGCGCGCGGCCGGAAAGGAAGGGCGGGCCUGACUCCUCGGCCGGCUCGAUUGCUCCAUCGCUCCCCGCCCUCCCACCUUCACCGUGGCCAGGGACUGGGGACCUCGCAGGCUCGGGGUUCUCACUUGUUGCGCCCUAGCACCGUCGCGCCACCCAGCCCCCCGGACCCAAGCACCCCGCCAGGCCAAGCUUCCGCAGGUCCGUGUGCCCAGGUCCCCUUGCGCCCCAGGGUCCCCGUCUCCGCGAGGCCGUCCCUGCGAGGGUCCCCAUACUCUGUCCCCGCCUUGUCCGUCAGAGAUCGGGUGGCAUCUGCGUCCCCCUCUGGCCCCUGAAGCCCAAGGUGUCCCAGCCAGGCAGCUGGGCAGCCAAGGACGGAGGGGACUGUGGAAAGUGGGGGCGUCUCCUCAAGGAGUCUCAGCUGGUCCUACCCUGAGGCUCCGGACUUUGCCCCCUGAGAUUGACUCGUUGGCCACCACUCUGCCCCCUGCCUGGGCAAAGGCCGGUGUAAUGGAGCCUCGCCCCACCAGCUGGCCAGCCCCAGGCCGGCAGAGGCAGAUGGCCAGGGCCCAGAGGCCUCCUUCCUGCUCGCCCAUCUGCCGUCCCCGCGGCGCCUGAGGGAGACCACCUCCUCCAAGAGACCCCAUAUUCUGGGCCAAAGCGCCCAGCCCCACUCUGUCCGCUUCUAGUGAAUCCCUCACUCCGCCCUCCCCUCCUCCUGGAAAUACGGGCUCCCUGGGUCCCCCGCGCCUCCCACAGGCCCCAGCACACAGUCGACAGGGGUUUCCCGGCCCCGUGACAGCCUAGUGAGACGCUUGCUAAGCGCUCAGCGAAUUCCAGGGGAGGAUCAGAUGAGGCGGAGUCCGCAUGCAGUUCACCACCUGCUGCCAGCACCGCGUCCCCCAGCCC